ensembl:misc_RNA Metazoa_SRP Metazoan signal recognition particle RNA
GUUGGGCGUGGUGGCUCAUGCCUGUAAUCCCAGCACUUUGGGAGACUGAGGUGGGUGGCUCACCUGAGGUCGGGAGUUCAAGACCAGCCUGACCAAUAUGGUGAAAUCCCAUCUCUA